CGGUGCAUUAAUGCUGGUAUGAUCGCUCCCUUUAGAAAGUGGAUUGGAAGAUUACUAAUGCAGCAGUGCGAAUGCGUAGAACGGUUUCAGUAAGUUUAAAAAUGCAAAUAAAAAUUGAAAGAUAGACAAAUAAUUUCUAAAACAAAGGAACGGAAAAAUGGCAACGUUGCGGAAUCGAUUAGAAAAUCGGAUGGAAGGGAAAAAAAGAAAUUAAAAAGGGACUACGAACGAGAAGAAGCAAAAAGGAGUGCAAAACGAGGACUUCCCAGGAGGUUACCCAACCUAGUACUACUCUCGUCCAAGCACGCUUAACUGCGGAGUUCUGAUGU
rnacentral:rRNA from 1 species